AUUGAACGCUGGCGGCAUGCCUUACACAUGCAAGUCGAACGGUAACGCGGGGCAACCUGGCGACGAGUGGCGAACGGGUGAGUAAUGCAUCGGAACGUGCCUGGUAGUGGGGGAUAACUGCUCGAAAGAGCAGCUAAUACCGCAUACGACCUGAGGGUGAAAGGGGGGGAUCGCAAGACCUCUCGCUAUCAGAGCGGCCGAUGUCGGAUUAGCUAGUUGGUGGGGUAAAGGCCCACCAAGGCGACGAUCCGUAGCUGGUCUGAGAGGACGACCAGCAACACUGGGACUGAGACACGGCCCAGACUCCUACGGGAGGCAGCAGUGGGGAAUUUUGGACAAUGGACGCAAGUCUGAUCCAGCCAUGCCGCGUGCGGGAAGAAGGCCUUCGGGUUGUAAACCGCUUUUGUCAGGGAAGAAAUCUUCUGGGUUAAUACCUCGGGAGGAUGACGGUACCUGAAGAAUAAGCACCGGCUAACUACGUGCCAGCCGCCGCAGUAAAAC
rnacentral:rRNA from 1 species